rnacentral:lncRNA from 1 species
UGCUGCUAAAGACAUCAUGCUAUUGGGGUGUUGUGAAACAGACCACUGCUGUUGCCUUUGCUCACUCUUCAGGUUUCAGUGCAAUAGAGGAGAGGCUUGGGCAUCCAGAGGACAAUCAACAGUCAUUUGGCCCAGGGAUGUCAAUGAUAGGAGACCUAAUAUGCAUCCUGAUUAUGGUGCCACCACAGCUGAUGAAAAGAGAACUUGAAGAACAAAAGACCCUGAGACCAC